UACGAGGGGGGCGAGCGUUGUUCGGAAUUACUGGGCGUAAAGGGUGCGUAGGCGGUUCCGCAAGUCCUGUGUGAAAUCUUCGGGCUCAACUCAUAGUCUGCAUCGGAAACUGCCGGGCUUGAGUGUGGGAGAGGUGAGUGGAAUUCCUGGUGUAGCGGUGAAAUGCGUAGAUAUCAGGAGGAACACCUGUGGCGAAAGCGGCUCACUGGACCAUAACUGACGCUGAUGCACGAAAGCUAGGGGAGCAAACAGG
rnacentral:rRNA from 1 species